UCCUGGCUCAGAUUGAACGCUGGCGGCAUGCCUUACACAUGCAAGUCGAACGGCAGCACGGGUGCUUGCACCUGGUGGCGAGUGGCGAACGGGUGAGUAAUACAUCGGAACAUGUCCUGUAGUGGGGGAUAGCCCGGCGAAAGCCGGAUUAAUACCGCAUACGAUCUACGGAUGAAAGCGGGGGACCUUCGGGCCUCGCGCUAUAGGGUUGGCCGAUGGCUGAUUAGCUAGUUGGUGGGGUAAAGGCCUACCAAGGCGACGAUCAGUAGCUGGUCUGAGAGGACGACCAGCCACACUGGGACUGAGACACGGCCCAGACUCCUACGGGAGGCAGCAGUGGGGAAUUUUGGACAAUGGGCGAAAGCCUGAUCCAGCAAUGCCGCGUGUGUGAAGAAGGCCUUCGGGUUGUAAAGCACUUUUGUCCGGAAAGAAAUCCCUGGCUCUAAUACAGUCGGGGGAUGACGGUACCGAAGA
rnacentral:rRNA from 1 species